rnacentral:lncRNA from 1 species
AUGAUUCUCUCCUCCGUUUUUGCGAGCCCUAAACCCCUUUUGGACUCUCUUUCGAUUCCCCUCCCAUCUUUCUCUGCUUCACUCCUCUCCGAUUCUCGAAUCUAAGGAUCUCCCUUUCUCAUCAGCGUCUCUAUGGAGGACUAGGACGAUCUCCCUCCUUUCUCUUCUUCCGAUGGUUCAUACCAAUCCGUUAUCUUUUUUUUUUAUCCGAUGGUUCAUACCAGUCCAUGAUCCCGAGGUCCAUGUUGAUCUUUUUCCUGGUUCUUGCUGGAUUUUCUUUUGUAUCAUAGCAUGUGGUGCCAUCAUGAUUUUUUUUCCUGACUAAUUCCGGUGCAUUAAAGUUCCUGGUUUUCUACUUGUUUAAUAAUUUUUUCUUGCUGGUGACUUCAGGUCAAUUAGGAUUCUUGGUAUUUCUUUUUUCUUUUCGUUUCUUUUUUGAGAAAUGGAACCUUUAAAUGACAUUUAGGGUUAUCUUGAUUAAUUUUCGUAGUUUAUAGUAUCUAUUUCGAUAUUUCUUCUGAUUAGUUACGGGUUAUUGGCAUUCCUGGUUUAAUAUCCCUGACUUUUUUUU